rnacentral:rRNA from 1 species
CCCUUAGAUGUUCUGGGCCGCACGCGCGCUACACUGAUGCAUUCAACGAGCCUAUCCUUGACCGACAGGUCCGGGUAAUCUUUGAAUCUGCAUCGUGACGGGGAUAGAUUAUUGCAAUUAUUAAUCUUCAACGAGGAAUGCCUAGUAGGCGCAAGUCAUCAGCUUGCGUCGAUUACGUCCCUGCCCUUUGUACACACCGCCCGUCGCUGCAACUGAUUGGGUGACCUGGUGAACAUCUUGGACCGGCUUGCCCAUUUUUGGACGAGUUGGAAAAGGACGUAAAUCAGGUACAUCUAGAAAUUGCAAAAGUCGUAACA